AAGACUGGGAUAACUCCGGGAAACCGGGGCUAAUACCGGAUAACUCAUUUCCUCGCAUGAGGAAAUGUUGAAAGGUGGCUUUUAGCUAUCACUUACAGAUGGACCCGCGGCGCAUUAGCUAGUUGGUGAGGUAACGGCUCACCAAGGCGACGAUGCGUAGCCGACCUGAGAGGGUGAUCGGCCACACUGGGACUGAGACACGGCCCAGACUCCUACGGGAGGCAGCAGUAGGGAAUCUUCCGCAAUGGACGAAAGUCUGACGGAGCAACGCCGCGUGAGUGAUGAAGGUUUUCGGAUCGUAAAACUCUUUUGUUAGGGAAGAACAAGUACCGUUCGAAAAAAGGGGCGGUACCUUUGACGGUCCUAAACCAGAAAGCCACGCUAAAUUACUUGNCA
rnacentral:rRNA from 1 species